rnacentral:misc_RNA from 1 species
CGCACAUUGCGCCCGCCAGUAUUCUGGCGGGCAUGCCUGUCCGAGCGUCAUUUCAACCCUCGAGAAUCCAUUCUCGGUGUUGGAGAUCGACCCCGCGUCGUCUCCCAAAUACAGUGGCGGCACGGCUGAGAUCCUCUGCGCAGUACUUCAUCUCGCAGCUGGAGGGAAGCCGGCGCCUGCCGUGAAACCCCCAACUUUCACAAGGUUGACCUCGGAUCAGGUAGGAAUACCCGCUGAACUUAA